rnacentral:ncRNA from 6 species
UACAAGGUCUCCGUUGGUGAACCAGCGGAGGGAUCAUUA